AUUCUCUCCAGCUUUGGCCCAGGGUUGACCAGGUUUUCUUCGUUCUACCUCAGCAUCCAGUUGGGGCUCUUUUCCUGCUGGACCGGUUGAUUGCAGGCUGCCCUCUCUCUGAGCUGGGGCUCCUCUUUCACCUGCGCUGCUUGGGAAACAAAAACUUUACAAAGAUUCCUUCUGAUGCUUCACACAGGCGCUGCGCUCUCGCCUUCUUCUAGAUUCUAAAGGGCAGAAUAAUGCUACAAACAGCAGGCAGCUGUAUUUCUACAUGCCAGUCCAACAUGGUGACAGCCGCAUCAGACAGCCGAGAAGCUGAAGCCGUCAGUCUACGGCCCCGGCAUACCCAGAGCCUAUUAGGCUCUCAUCUGAUGGGUUACCACACUUAUUUUCUUUCAUUCUAUUAUUUUGACAACACCCAGCUAGGCUGCUUCUCCCCCUUGCAGCUCCUGCCCAGCCGGCCAGGCAGGUCUGACGAUGGAGAUACCUGCUUCCACACGGGAAGAAACUCUGAGUUCACAGACAGGUGCCCCAGGAGCAAGUCCCAGCUCUCUGUCCGCUUGUUUGGGGCACUUGAGUGGCCACUUAGCUUUGCUGAGCCUCACACUCUCCUCCUGUAAAAUGGAGCUAAUACACCUCUGUCACAGAGCCACUGUCAGUCUCUAAUGAAAUAAAGCUUGUGAUGUGUUC
ensembl:lncRNA